rnacentral:rRNA from 1 species
UACGUAGGGUGCGAGCGUUGUCCGGAAUUAUUGGGCGUAAAGAGCUCGUAGGCGGUCUGUUGCGUCGGGAGUGAAAACUCAGGGCUUAACCCUGAGCCUGCUUCUGAUACGGGCAGACUAGAGGUAUGCAGGGGAGAACGGAAUUCCUGGUGUAGCGGUGAAAUGCGCAGAUAUCAGGAGGAACACCGGUGGCGAAGGCGGUUCUCUGGGCAUUACCUGACGCUGAGGAGCGAAAGUGUGGGGAGCGAACAGG